rnacentral:rRNA from 1 species
UACGGGGGGGGUAAGCGUUGUUCGGAAUUACUGGGCGUAAAGGGCUCGUAGGCGGCCAACUAAGUCAGACGUGAAAUCCCUCAGCUUAACUGGGGAACUGCGUCUGAUACUGGAUGGCUUGGAUUCGGGAGAGGAAUGCGGAAUUCCAGGUGUAGCGGUGAAAUGCGUAGAUAUCUGGAAGAACACCGGUGGCGAAGGCGGUGGUCUGGGCCAUAACUGACGCUGAGGAGCGAAAGCAUGGGGAGCGAACAGG